rnacentral:rRNA from 1 species
AGAGUUUGAUCCUGGCUCAGAUUGAACGCUGGCGGCAGGCCUAACACAUGCAAGUCGAGCGGAUGAAGAGAGCUUGCUCUCUGAUUCAGCGGCGGACGGGUGAGUAAUGCCUAGGAAUCUGCCUGAUAGUGGGGGGCAACGUUUCGAAAGGAACGCUAAUACCGCAUACGUCCUACGGGAGAAAGCAGGGGACCUUCGGGCCUUGCGCUAUCACAUGAGACUAGGUCGGAUUACCUAGUUGGCGAGGUAAUGGCUCACCAAGGCGACGAUCCGUAACUGGUCUGAGAGGAUGAUCACUCACACUGGAACUGACACACCGUCCACACUCCUACAGGAGGCAGCACUGGGGAAUAUUGGACAAUGGGCGAAAGCCUGAUCCAGCCGUGCCGCGUGUGUGAAGAAUGCCUUCGGAUUGUAAAGCACUUUAAGUUGGGAGGAAGGGCAUUAACCUAAUACGUUAGUGUUUUGACGUUACCGACAGAAUAAGCACCGGCUAACUUCGUGCCAGCGACCACGGUAAUACAAAAGGUGCAAGCGUUAAUCUUAGUUACUGGGCGUAUAGCGUGCGCACGCAUGCUUGUAAGUCUGAUGUGAAAUCCCCGGGCUCAACCUGCCAAUUGCAUCGCAGACUGCAAGGAUAGAAUCUGGCAGAGGGGGGCAGAAUUCCACGUGCCACAAUGAAGUGCAUAGAUAUGUGUUAGGAACACCGAUGGCCGAA